rnacentral:rRNA from 1 species
CUACCUACGGGACGCAGCAGUGGGGAAUAUUGCACAAUGGGGGAAACCCUGAUGCAGCGACGCCGCGUGGGCGAAGAAGUAUUUCGGUAUGCAAAGCCCUAUCGGCAGGGAAGAAGGAGGACGGUACCUGACUAAGAAGCCCCGGCUAACUACGUGCCAGCAGCCGCGGUAAUACGUAGGGGGCAAGCGUUAUCCGGAUUUACUGGGUGUAAAGGGGGCGCAGACGGCAGCGCACGCCAGGAGUGAAAG